GCUUAACACAUGCAAGUCGAGGGGCAGCAUUUCAGUUUGCUUGCAAACUGGAGAUGGCGACCGGCGCACGGGUGAGUAACACGUAUCCAACCUGCCGAUAACUCGGGGAUAGCCUUUCGAAAGAAAGAUUAAUACCCGAUGGUAUAAUCAGACCGCAUGGUCUUGUUAUUAAAGAAUUUCGGUUAUCGAUGGGGAUGCGUUCCAUUAGGCAGUUGGUGAGGUAGCGGCUCACCAAACCUUCGAUGGAUAGGGGUUCUGAGAGGAAGGUCCCCCACAUUGGAACUGAGACACGGUCCAAACUCCUACGGGAGGCAGCAGUGAGGAAUAUUGGUCAAUGGGCGCAGGCCUGAACCAGCCAAGUAGCGUGAAGGAUGACUGCCCUAUGGGUUGUAAACUUCUUUUAUAUGGGAAUAAAGUUUUCCACGUGUGGAAUUUUGUAUGUACCAUAUGAAUAAGGAUCGGCUAACUCCGUGCCAGCAGCCGCGGUAAUACGGAGGAUCCGAGCGUUAUCCGGAUUUAUUGGGUUUAAAGGGAGCGUAGGUGGACAGUUAAGUCAGUUGUGAAAGUUUGCGGCUCAACCGUAAAAUUGCAGUUGAUACUGGCUGUCUUGAGUACAGUAGAGGUGGGCGGAAUUCGUGGUGUAGCGGUGAAAUGCUUAGAUAUCACGAAGAACUCCGAUUGCGAAGGCAGCUCACUGGACUGCAACUGACACUGAUGCUCGAAAGUGUGGGUAUCAAACAGGAUUAGAUACCCUGGUAGUCCACACAGUAAACGAUGAAUACUCGCUGUUUGCGAUAUACAGUAAGCGGCCAAGCGAAAGCAUUAAGUAUUCCACCUGGGGAGUACGCCGGCAACAGUGAAACUCAAAGGAAUUGACGGGGGCCCGCACAAGCGGAGGAACAUGUGGUUUAAUUCGAUGAUACGCGAGGAACCUUACCCGGGCUUAAAUUGCAUUUGAAUAUAUUGGAAACAGUAUAGCCGUAAGGCAAAUGUGAAGGUGCUGCAUGGUUGUCGUCAGCUCGUGCCGUGAGGUGUCGGCUUAAGUGCCAUAACGAGCGCAACCCUUAUCUUUAGUUACUAACAGGUCAUGCUGAGGACUCUAGAGAGACUGCCGUCGUAAGAUGUGAGGAAGGUGGGGAUGACGUCAAAUCAGCACGGCCCUUACGUCCGGGGCUACACACGUGUUACAAUGGGGGGUACAGAAGGCAGCUACCUGGUGACAGGAUGCUAAUCCCAAAAGCCUCCCUCAGUUCGGAUCGAAGUCUGCAACCCGACUUCGUGAAGCUGGAUUCGCUAGUAAUCGCGCAUCAGCCAUGGCGCGGUGAAUACGUUCCCGGGCCUUGUACACACCGCCCGUCAAGCCAUGAAAGCCGGGGGUACCUGAAGUACGUAACAGCAAGGAGCGUCCUAGGGUAAAACUGGUGACUGGGGCUAA
rnacentral:rRNA from 1 species